CUUGUGUAAGUAUAAUAUAUGGAUCUAUUACUUCACGCACGUUGUUGUGUAUUCAAAUGUUGGAAAGAAAGCAAAUAAUUUAAUUGUAAAAAUGCAAUUAAAACAAACAGAUUAUCACGUUAUCAUCAAAGUGAUGAAUUUGGCAUACAAGUAGAGAUGAUUAAUUGCGAAACUGCGGAGAAAAAGGUAUACGCCUUCGCGCUACGGUGGCUGAUAACGGCGGUGAAUUUGAUGCAAACACAGUGUGAUGCAGUUACGUUUCUAACGAGUAUGCGAGCAGACAACGACGACAACGACGACUACUCUCGCGACGGCAUAACGGCCGCAGCGGGACACAAAAGGGGAAAGAAGAAGAAAGCGUUGAAAUACACGUUGGAGAUACGCGCGCGAACCACGGAGGCUGCGCUCUUAUCUUCCGCUCCGCGAAUUUACUCCCGCACCGUUUAUUUUACGAUGACUGCUCUAUUUAUAUCCUACGAAUAUCUGAAUGACGGAUCGAUUCUUCGCGUUCUGCAUCCGUUCCAGAUAUCUGCUUUUCCUCUUUCCCUUCUCCUAUAAAAGGCACGAUGUACUUGCGAGCUUCGCGGAAAAAAGACCGUCAUAUGCGACGAAGAAGAAAAAAAGAAAAGGAAAGAGCGAGAGAGAGAAAGAGAGAGAGAGAGAAAGAGUGUGCACAAGUGAGAUGAAGGGAAAAAGGAUCAAGUUCCUUCUUCACGGUUUUCAACGGGAGUACGAAAUUACGUUCGGCGCGUAUUCGAGAGGGAGACACGCUAAAACGACGUCGACGUUUAUAACCCUUUGAUGUAUUUCGAGUCUUAUGCACCCUGCCGGAGCAAGCAAACGUCGAUCGAGUGCAAUUGGACUGCAUGGAUUGAAAAAAACGAUAAUAUCUGUCACUUGGCUGAUAUCAAAUCGAUCGCGCAUAACGAUCGGUUGGUCCAGUAUCUCGUGUAAACGCUCGAGGUUGAAACAUGACCGAAGCAUGCGAGAGAGAGAGAGAGAGAGAGAGAGAAAUCUCGUUACUAAAGAAAAAGGGAAAGAAAAGAAGAGAAAAAUGGAAAAAGGUCGUGACGGUGGCGCGAGAAUGGCAUCGAUUCUCGGCACUGCUGGUAUUUCAGUCUAACUCCGGAGCAGUUAAUUUCAUCUCUGUCUGUCUCUCUGUUUCUCUUCGUUUCUCCCGCGUUCUCGUCCCUACACAGGCGUAAAAAAGAACGACCGCAUGCCAUCUCAGGCAUUUCUUUGGUGAAAACUUAUCGAUUGCGAAGGAAUGUCCGUUGCGGAAGGAAAAACUCGGAAGAUAGGAAGCUGCAGAGAAGCAGCAUCUUAAUUCUCUGUGAAACUAAAUCGAGAAAAACAAAACACUGCAUUGAGAGCGACAAGUCACUUCAUCUGGAGGAAUCGUCGUUCGUUGUGCUGACGACGCUCCUCAAACAAGAGUACUUCCUUGAAAUCGUAAGCGGGAUACAAUCGAGAGCGCGCCGAGUAAUAUGAUCUUUCACAUCCGUCGAUCGCUCGAGCACAUCGUGUUUGUCAACCGUUCGGACAAAACAGGAAGAGAAACGAACGCGUGUCUCUCGACGAGCGAAACGAGAUAGAGAAAGAUACGGUCGUCGGAGGAGAUCACAGACGUCGGGUCACACAUCUGCGAAGCAGAAGGCAAACGACCGCGACAUGAUCGCGUUUCUCGCAAGUAGUCCGCAUCCGAUCGAUGCCGACGGCCCGGCAGUGACGGGACGCGUUCCCCGCAUCUUGCCGUCGGGAGCAUCAUACACACAUAAGCGCGCACUCAACACACACAAAAGAGUGUGUACAUACGUUGCGUACGCGUUGCAUCGCGACACAUUAUGCACAGAUGGUUGU